rnacentral:rRNA from 1 species
GACGAACGCUGGCGGCGUGCUUAACACAUGCAAGUCGAACGGAAAGGCCCUGCUUUUGUGAGGUGCUCGAGUGGCGAACGGGUGAGUAACACGUGAGUAACCUGCCCUUGACUUUGGGAUAACUUCAGGAAACUGGGGCUAAUACCGGAUAGGAGCUCCUGCUGCAUGGUGGGGGUUGGAAAGUUUCGGCGGUUGGGGAUGGACUCGCGGCUUAUCAGCUUGUUGGUGGGGUAGUGGCUUACCAAGGCUUUGACGGGUAGCCGGCCUGGGAGGGUGACCGGCCACAUUGGGACUGAGAUACGGCCCAGACUCCUACGGGAGGCAGCAGUGGGGAAUAUUGCACAAUGGGCGGAAGCCUGAUGCAGCAACGCCGCGUGCGGGAUGACGGCCUUCGGGUUGUAAACCGCUUUCGCCUGUGACGAAGCGUGAGUGACGGUAAUGGGUAAAGAAGCACCGGCUAACUACGUG